rnacentral:rRNA from 1 species
GACGAACGCUGGCGGCGUGCUUAACACAUGCAAGUCGAGCGGUAAGGCCCUUCGGGUACACGAGCGGCGAACGGGUGAGUAACACGUGGGUGACCUGCCUCUAGCUCUGGGAUAAGCCUGGGAAACUGGGUCUAAUACCGGAUAUGACUCCACGGCGCAUGUUGUGGGGUGGAAAGCCUUGUGUGGCUAGAGAUGGGCCCGCGG